rnacentral:rRNA from 1 species
CCUACGGGUGGCAGCAGUGAGGAAUAUUGGUCAAUGGACGCAAGCCUGAACCAGCCAAGUCGCGUGAAGGAUGACGGCGCUACGAGUUGUAAACUGCUUUUGUACGAGGGUAAUAUGAGAUACGUGUGCCUGUUUGAAAGUAUCGUAUGAAUAAGGAUCGGCUAACUCCGUGCCAGCAGCCGCGGUAAUACGGAGGAUCCAAGCGUUAUCCGGAUUUAUUGGGUUUAACGGGUGCGUAGGUGGUUUUAUAAGUUAGUGGUGAAAAUUCGGGGCUCAACUCCGGACGUGCCUCUUAUAUUGUCUGACUAGAGAAUAGAUGCGGUAGGCGGAAUGUAUGGUGUAGCGGUGAAAUUCGUAGAGAUCAUACAGAACACCGAUUGCGAAGGAAGCUUACCAAACUAUAUCUGACGUUGAGGCACGAAAGCGUGGGGAGCAAACAGGAUUAGAUACCCUGGUAGUC